CAAACUUUCCAGUACUUCAGUGUACUGAUAAUCCGGUUUCCACCCAGUCCCAGGAGAUUAUAUUAAACCUGGAAAAUAUUGGAGAAGAUCAAUUAAGUUUUCAGGAGCACAUUACUGUGAUAAAUGCUGAACUAUGUAAAAGACAACCUGACUACACCAACAUAUCAAAAAUCUAAUGAGAUGCGCUCUUUUUAAAAGAGUUGAUUUAAUGACAAAAUCAACUUGAGAGGUCAUGGACAUGUUCCCAUUUCUUCGGGUUCCACAACUUCUGCUGCAUGAAGUGAAGAUGCGGUUUGGGAAGGAACUUCAUCUUAAUCUAGAGACUGCUCUUCAAGUUCUGAACAGUUUAUUGACACAAACACAAAAAGUAUGUUCUUUUUUUCCUUAACACUACCAUUAGUUGCUUGGUUUGUUGAACGGUUACUGUAAUAAAUCUAUUUAUACCAUGGUUUGUCUGAAUAUCUGAUUCUGAUUGGCUAAAAGGUGUGCAUUAAAAUACUUUGA